GAGUCAGGCCAGGAGCAGCAACUGAUGUUCACGAGGGACAAACUUUCUUCACCUCCUGCCCAUGCUGGCCCUAGGAUCUGGGCUUUUUUGGUGACAUGAGUGCUGAGCCUCCCAGGAAUUGUGAUAAUCAUGGAAUUCAAUAUCUGUGGAGAUGUUCCAGUGGUUGUGGCCCAUUACUAAAAAGGGCAGGCUGGAUGACGACACUCAGCUGACAAUGUGGACAUCUCAGGACAGUCACUGGACAAUGGCUGACACACUUGUCUGAAGACUGGAAAUGUUUCUCGAUCUUGGAGAGGAAAGAAGGACCCUCCAACUACACUGUCCUCUAAGGA
ensembl:lncRNA